rnacentral:rRNA from 1 species
AUACGUAGGUGGCAAGCGUUGUCCGGAAUUAUUGGGCGUAAAGCGCGCGCAGGCGGUCCUUUAAGUCUGAUGUGAAAGCCCACGGCUCAACCGUGGAGGGUCAUUGGAAACUGGGGGACUUGAGUGCAGAAGAGGAAAGGGGAAUUCCAAGUGUAGCGGUGAAACGCGUAGAGAUUUGGAGGAACACCAGUGGCGAAGGCGACUUUCUGGUCUGUAACUGACGCUGAGGCGCGAAAGCGUGGGGAGCAAACAGGAUUAGAUACCCUGGUAGUCCACGCCGUAAACGAUGAGUGCUAAGUGUUAGGGGGUUUCCGCCCCUUAGUGCUGCAGCUAACGCAUUAAGCACUCCGCCUGGGGAGUACGGUCGCAAGACUGAAACUCAAAGGAAUUGACGGGG